rnacentral:lncRNA from 1 species
GAGUGGAUCUCUACUUAAAUUUGCUCUGAUCUGCAUGAGACAAUGGAGAUGAUAUGUCAACAUUCCACUAUAUAUAUAACAAAAAUCAUGUAAUCCAGAGAGCUUUAACCUGUACAUCAAGUGAUACAAAAAUUAGACAGACUAAAUAUAAUUAAAUUAAGCAAGAAUAUUUUUGUUUCUAACUUUAAUUUAGAGUCAAAAGUUCCAAAUAAAUCAUCCCUUUUACUUAAAAUGCAACCAUCUAUGGCUAGACGUGGCAAUGGAUAGGGUCAAAUCAAGUUGUGACAAUCGUUAACCCAUACACGGUACCACC